rnacentral:rRNA from 1 species
CGACAGGCUUAACACAUGCAAGUCGAGGGGCAGCGGGGGUAGCGAUACCCGCCGGCGACCGGCGCACGGGUGAGUAACGCGUAUGCAACUUGCCUAUCAGAGGGGGAUAACCCGGCGAAAGUCGGACUAAUACCGCAUGAAGCAGGGGCCCCGCAUGGGGAUAUUUGCUAAAGAUUCAUCGCUGAUAGAUAGGCAUGCGUUCCAUUAGGCAGUUGGCGGGGUAACGGCCCACCAAACCGACGAUGGAUAGGGGUUCUGAGAGGAAGGUCCCCCACAUUGGUACUGAGACACGGACCAAACUCCUACGGGAGGCAGCAGUGAGGAAUAUUGGUCAAUGGCCGAGAGGCUGAACCAGCCAAGUCGCGUGAGGGAUGAAGGUUCUAUGGAUCGUAAACCUCUUUUAUAAGGGAAUAAAGUGCGGGACGUGUCCCGUUUUGUAUGUACCUUAUGAAUAAGGAUCGGCUAACUCCGUGCCAGCAGCCGCGGUAAUACGGAGGAUCCGAGCGUUAUCCGGAUUUAUUGGGUUUAAAGGGUGCGUAGGCGGCCUUUUAAGUCAGCGGUGAAAGUCUGUGGCUCAACCAUAGAAUUGCCGUUGAAACUGGGGGGCUUGAGUAUGUUUGAGGCAGGCGGAAUGCGUGGUGUAGCGGUGAAAUGCAUAGAUAUCACGCAGAACCCCGAUUGCGAAGGCAGCCUGCCAAGCCAUUACUGUCGCUGAUGCACGAAAGCGUGGGGAUCAAACAGGAUUAGAUACCCUGGUAGUCCACGCAGUAAACGAUGAUCACUAGCUGUUUGCGAUACACUGUAAGCGGCACAGCGAAAGCGUUAAGUGAUCCACCUGGGGAGUACGCCGGCAACGGUGAAACUCAAAGGAAUUGACGGGGGCCCGCACAAGCGGAGGAACAUGUGGUUUAAUUCGAUGAUACGCGAGGAACCUUACCCGGGUUUGAACGCAUUCGGACCGAGGUGGAAACACCUUUUCUAGCAAUAGCCGUUUGCGAGGUGCUGCAUGGUUGUCGUCAGCUCGUGCCGUGAGGUGUCGGCUUAAGUGCCAUAACGAGCGCAACCCUUGCCACUAGUUACUAACAGGUAAAGCUGAGGACUCUGGUGGGACUGCCAGCGUAAGCUGCGAGGAAGGCGGGGAUGACGUCAAAUCAGCACGGCCCUUACAUCCGGGGCGACACACGUGUUACAAUGGCGUGGGCAAAGGGAGGCCACCUGGCGACAGGGAGCGAAUCCCCAAACCACGUCUCAGUUCGGAUCGGAGUCUGCAACCCGACUCCGUGAAGCUGGAUUCGCUAGUAAUCGCGCAUCAGCCAUGGCGCGGUGAAUACGUUCCCGGGCCUUGUACACACCGCCCGUCAAGCCAUGGGAGCCGGGGGUACCUGAAGUCCGUAACCGAAAGGAUCGGCCUAGGGUAAAACUGGUGACUGGGGC